UACGUAGGGUGCGAGCGUUAAUCGGAAUUACUGGGCGUAAAGGGUGCGCAGGCGGCUCCGCAUGUCGGGCGUGAAAUCCCCGGGCUCAACCUGGGAAUGGCGAUGAAGACUGCAAGGCUAGAAUCUGGCAGAGGGGGGUAGAAUUCCACGUGUAGCAGUGAAAUGCGUAGAGAUGUGGAGGAACACCGAUGGCGAAGGCAGCCCCCUGGGUCAAGAUUGACGCUCAUGCACGAAAGCGUGGGGAGCAAACAGG
rnacentral:rRNA from 1 species